AGAUACUUUUUGCUCCCAAAUAAUGACUACGCGCAGAGAGCCGAGCUUCAGGCUUUGCACGUUAAUUCGCUUUACUCGACAGCGAGUCUUACUUUCCCACAAUUUCCUAUUUGCACAGAGGGCUCCAAGGCUGACAGGAGGGCUUUUAACCUGCGAAGCACCGACUCGCCGGGCUACAAAAGGAGGCGAAGUGUGGGAACACGACGGGCAGUGCGGCAGCCCGGUUACUCCUCCAGCUGCAAACCCAUUUCUUUCCCGCUGACUGCCAAGCGCCGAGCCCCCUCCCUGCCGAAGGGACACGGCACGCCGGGCACACGGCGCUGUUCCCCCGGCACAGGAGCUGCCCGGCGCUGCGAGGAAGCACAAGGGGCCGACGGCUCGGGAAGCGCUCGGGUGGGACCGCGCUGCCAGAGCCUCCGCAGGGAACACGGGCAAACAGCUGAUUGCUCCGUGAGCGCUCGGGGACGGCAGCAAAAACCAACCAAACCCCGAAAAACUACCCCGGCAGCUGAGCUCUGCCGUGCGGGAGGACGAGCAGCUCCUGCCCAGCCCGGCAUCCCGGGCACCGGCACUGCCUUCUCAGAACCACCGAAGCACAGGCUGGGCAAGGCUGGAGUGGGCCACACACCCGCUCCGACCUCUCUGCUCGAGCGGGGUCAUCCCGGAGCACGCUGUACGGGAUUGUGUCCAGAUGGCUCUUGGGCAUCUCUUCCCUCCCCGACCCUCGCUCACAAACGAGCGCCGCCAACUUUUCCCAGCGGCGCGGCUGGAGAAGGAGAAGGAGGAGGAGGAGAAGGAGGAGGAGGAGGAGGAGGAGGAGCAGCGCGGGGGGGGGACAGGCGCGGGGAACGUCGCUGCCAAGUCUCCCUCUCCGGCCGCGCGCACCCUCAGGGGAGCGGCCCCGCCGGCUCCAAAACUUUUUCGGGACAGCGAAAAAGCUCCGGGAGGCGGCGGGUGCGAGCCGUUCCCCCUGCAGGACUAGCAGCGCCGCUCCCUCCCGGAACAUGA
rnacentral:lncRNA from 1 species